rnacentral:rRNA from 1 species
UACGGGGGGGGCAAGCGUUGUUCGGAAUUACUGGGCGUAAAGGGCGCGUAGGCGGCCUUCUAAGUCAGACGUGAAAUCCCCCGGCUUAACCUGGGAACUGCGUCUGAUACUGGAGGGCUUGAGUAUGGGAGAGGGAUGUAGAAUUCCAGGUGUAGCGGUGAAAUGCGUAGAUAUCUGGAGGAAUACCGGUGGCGAAGGCGGCAUCCUGGACCAUUACUGACGCUGAGGCGCGAAAGCUAGGGGAGCAAACGGG